CAACCCUAACCACAAACCAUGUAUCGCAUUAGAAGCAAAAAUCCUCACCUCGUGGACACUUCAGUCAUAUGUUCAGAGAGUCAACAUGGAGGUCUGUGCUCUUAACAUCAGGCUGUUGAUCUUUGUGUUAUUCCUGCUGGGUGUAAAUGUUCAAGAUGUGGAUUCACUGAUUCUCCGUCUUGAACCAAACAGACUGCAG